rnacentral:rRNA from 1 species
GAGUUUGAUUAUGGCUCAGGAUGAACGCUGGCGGCGUGCCUAACACAUGCAAGUCGAACGGAAACUAAGCGCUUCGGAGACUUCGGUCAAUGUUGCUUGGUUUAGUGGCGGACGGGUGAGUAACGCGUGGAUAACCUGCCUCAUACAGGGGGAUAACAGUUAGAAAUGACUGCUAAUACCGCAUAAGCGCACGGAAUCGCAUGUUUCUGUGUGAAAAGCUCCGACGGUAUGAGAUGGAUCCGCGUCUGAUUAGCUGGUUGGCGGGGUAACAGCCCACCAAGGCGACGAUCAGUAGCCGGCCUGAGAGGGUGAACGGCCACAUUGGGACUGAGACACGGCCCAAACUCCUACGGGAGGCAGCAGUGGGGAUAUUGCACAAUGGGGGAAACCCUGAUGCAAGCGACGCCGCGUGAGUGAAGAAGUAUUUCGGUAUGUAAAGCUCUAUCAGCAGGGAAGAUAAUGACGGUACCUGACUAAGAAGCACCGGCUAAAUACGUGCCAGCCGCCGC